rnacentral:rRNA from 1 species
GGGGUGCAGCAGGCGCGAAACCUUAGCAAUGUGCGAAAGCACGACUGGGUCAGUCCGAGUGAUUCCUGAUAAAGGAGUCUUUUGCCUGUCCUAAAAGCACAGGUGAAUAAGGGGUGGGCAAGUCUGGUGUCAGCCGCCGCGGUAAUACCAGCACCUCGAGUGGUCAGGACGUUUAUUGGGCCUAAAGCAUCCGUAGCCGGCUCUGCAAGUCUUCGGUUAAAUCCACCUGCUCAACAGAUGGGCCGCUGGAGAUACUACAGAGCUAGGGAGUGGGAGAGGCAGACGGUAUUCAGUGGGUAGGGGUAAAAUCCUCUGAUCCAUUGAGGACCACCAGUGGCGAAGGCGGUCUGCCAGAACACGUUCGACGGUGAGGGAUGAAAGCUGGGGGAGCAAACCGGAUUAGAUACCCGGGUAGUCCCAGCUGUAAACGAUGCAAACUCGGUGAUGCAUUGGCUUAUGGCCAAUGCAGUGCCGCAGGGAAGCCGUUAAGU